GGGGGUGAGUUGGCAUUGAUUGGCGUUGUCAAUCGUACGGGGCACGUAGUCAAACUUCAUCUAUGACUUUAAUCCAUGAUGGAAAUUUUCAGACGGCAACGUUUAUAGUGAAAUGGCAGUAUUAGGUCUUGUAUCUGAUAAUGUCGCAGUUAACGCAUAACUAAGUUAGUGUUAACAACGGGUCGGUGGACAUAUACCUUGGAACAGAAGUCCUUAAAGUGUGACACCACUUAAAAGUGUUAGAGGUGUAAGGUCGUCUCUUUAAAUAAGGAUUGGACCGAGGAUGUUAGUUUCCUCUAAAUAACUUUCUAUUUCGAAGUGUUAGAAAAUACUGUUCUAAACGUGUAGUCCUUUAUGGGUGAGACGAACAAGACGCGGGUUCGACACCCGCCACCUCCACAA
rnacentral:tmRNA from 1 species